GACGAACGCUGGCGGCGUGCCUAAUACAUGCAAGUCGAGCGAAGUUUUUCUGGUGCUUGCCCUAGAAAAACUUAGCGGCGAACGGGUGAGUAACACGUAAAGAACCUGCCUCAUAGACUGGGACAACUAUUGGAAACGAUAGCUAAUACCGGAUAACAGUAUUUCUCGCAUGAGAGAUAUUUAAAAGUUGGUUAUGCUAACACUAUGAGAUGGCUUUGCGGUGCAUUAGCUAGUUGGUGGGGUAAAGGCCCACCAAGGCGACGAUGCAUAGCCGACCUGAGAGGGUUAUCGGCCACACUGGGACUGAGACACGGCCCAGACUCCUACGGGAGGCAGCAGUAGGGAAUCUUCCGCAAUGGGCGAAAGCCUGACGGAGCAACGCCGCGUGAGUGAAGAAGGAUUUCGGUUCGUAAAGCUCUGUUGUUAGGGAAGAAUGGAUAUGUAGUAACUAUACAUGUAAGAGACGGUACCUAACCAGAAAGCCACGGCUAACUACGUG
rnacentral:rRNA from 1 species